CCUACGGGAGGCAGCAGUAAGGAAUAUUGGUCAAUGGUGGCAACACUGGACCAGCCAUGCCGCGUGCAGGAUGAAGGUUCUAUGAAUUGUAAACUGCUUUUAUACGGGAAAAAACUUUCGAACGUGUUCGGAACUGAUGGUACCGUAAGAAUAAGGAUCGGCUAACUUCGUGCCAGCAGCCGCGGUAAGACGAAGGAUCCAAGCGUUAUCCGGAUUUAUUGGGUUUAAAGGGUGCGUAGGUGGACUUGUAAGUCAGUGGUGAAAGCCCGAUGCUUAACAUCGGAACUGCCAUUGAUACUGCAAGUCUUGAAUAUGUUUGAAGUGGGCGGAAUGUGUCGUGUAGCGGUGAAAUGCUUAGAUAUGACACAGAACACCGAUUGCGAAGGCAGCUCACUAAACCAUUAUUGACACUGAGGCACGAAAGCGUUGGGGAGCAAACAGGAUUAGAUACCCUGGUAGUCCCGACGACCGUAACCGUUACGUAAUACUACGUAUAUAGUGCGAUACUACUAGUACGUGUCCGACGAGAAGUACGUUAAGUUA
rnacentral:rRNA from 1 species